AAUAUAUAUAUAUAUAUAUAUUCACUUGUACCAUCACGUAGGACAAGUAAUCAACCCGUGGGUAUCACAAGGGAAGGUGAUGAUCAGCCUCCAUGGCUCUAUUCUUUUUCAGAUCCUCCAAUUAGCUCAAAGUUUAGCUUCCUCAGAAGAGAGGCCUCACCAACAGAACCUUUACUCAUAUAUCCGCUUUCUUUUAAGUAGGGUAGGAAAUAUGAUGAUGGACCCGAUGAGGAAGAGCAUCGACAAAGUUUUAAAAUCAUAAAGAUCCUUGACUGACUUGAGAUCCCCAAGAGCAAGGCCAGCCUGAUUAUUAUAAUAAAGCAGAAGCAGUGACAACAGUGCAAUAUUAGUACAAUUACAUAGCAUGCAGUAAAGAAUUAUUUAGGAAACCAAAACCAUCCCACCCUCUCAAUACAUGCACGCAGACACACAUGCGCUCGUGCACGCAACAUUUCAUCGAGUUAUUAAUGUCCUACAUGCCAAGAACCUAGCAGCCAUAUAUGGAAGUCCUUAUGAAGUUUUGUUAUGCGUUGCUAAUAGCAAAACUUGUAUGGAAUACGUCUAGUCUAACUCCUAAGGCUUUACCACCUUGCCUCAAAAGUCAAGAAAUCAACCACAUCACACAAAUCAGUUGUCAUGCAGACAACAGAAAAAACGAAAUUGAGCUUGACAGUGCUUGAGACUAUCAAAAACAAAGGGAGCAUGAUAAUAAGCUGCAACUGACAAAGCUGAUGCAGCAGAAGCUCUGAUCAUAUGAAGACCAUUGCAUGCAGUUCAUUAGAAAGAGAACUUUUAACUGUCUUGCUUGUUUGGUGAUCUACACCAACCCUUUUAUUGUAACAGUCCAAGGAAAUUACAAAAGAAGAAAUGGACUUGUAAAUUAGAAACUACAUUAUUAAUCGUUUGUAUGAAUUAUCUCCAGGAAUCUACUUGAGCAACAGUUUAAUAUAUGGAUCAAGUAAAAACCCACUUGUUAGGAAAAAAAUAAAAAAAGUCCAGUACAUUAUUCUGCAUACUUAACAUGGCCCUUAGCUAUGAUAUGAUGCGUAUAGCAUCGUCAUUUUGGGAAAUAAAAAAGGCUCUUGUAAGCCCCCAAAGUAAAGGCUAAGGCUCAAUUGAGCCCCCAUACAAAUUUUGGAUCCGUCAAACCCCUUUAUUCUCAAAACUCAACAGUUACAUCCAUAAAUUAAUAGCGUUAAUUGCACUGUUAAUGAAAUGAGUAAAGUCAUUUUGUGGUAUCUGAAAAUAAAUAAAAUAUUAUUAAAAUAAAAACCCAGAUUUUCCAUCUCUCUUGGUAAUCAAACACUAAAGACCCAGAUUUUUCAACACA
rnacentral:misc_RNA from 1 species